GCUGACAGGUAACAUUUGGUGAGAGGGUAAACAAAGCCUUGGUGAAUUCACUUUCUUUAAACUUGUCCCACAUGAAAUUCUAUGGAUAACACUAGCCAUAGCUUAAUUAGUAGAAUCGCCCUUGGCAAUCAAGGCAAAGUGAAUUUGCUGGCAUUCUUUUCUACCAGCUCAGAUAGGGAGGAACCAGUUUCAUGCUGCCACGAGGAAGAGUUCUUGUGCACAGGGUGGGUGGUUUGUUUAAUUAAAGACAAAUAUAGAACUUUAAAACAAAUAAGCUAUCAAAUCCAGGAGAGCUGGUUCUGUACUGUUUGUCUACUGCUAAUUGUUUCUAUUAGACUCGCUAUUCUCAAUCUUUAGAUUCAGAAGCUGAAGACUUGACCAACUGAAUCUAGUAGCACCUUGAGAAUUGGCCGAAGAGACUGUCCCUGCAGGCUGCAAGACAGGCAAGAAUAUUAAAAGUGAAAAAAAAAUAUUAAGAAGAGCAAAGGAAAUCAAGGUGCCUACUUGAAAUACAGUGGCAUGGCUGAGCCAGUUAGUCAAACUGAUAAUAAGGGUUAUAAGGAGUAUAAGGAUAUUUUUCAAACUUGGCAACCGUAAGACAUGUGGACUUCAAUCCCAGAAUUUCCCAGCCAAUGGGGAAAAACACUGUGGCUUGGUGGCCUCUUUAUGGCAAUUAGCAAAUUACCAUUUCUAUAUGCUGCUUUGACUUCCUUGGAUAUUCUUGCUAAGUUUUAAAUUAGAACAAACCAGUCUUGGAUUAUUUCUCAACUGGGCUUUUGUGUCUGUAGAGCAUCACAAGAAUAAACAUUCAUGAUUUCA